ACUCCUGCGGGAGGCAGCAGUGAGGAAUAUUGGACAAUGGGUGGAAGCCUGAUCCAGCCAUCCCGCGUGCAGGAAGACGGCCCUAUGGGUUGUAAACUGCUUUUAUCUGGGGAUAAACCUACUUACGUGUAAGUAGCUGAAGGUACCAGAAGAAUAAGCACCGGCUAACUCCGUGCCAGCAGCCGCGGUAAUACGGAGGGUGCAAGCGUUAUCCGGAUUUAUUGGGUUUAAAGGGUCCGUAGGCGGACUGAUAAGUCAGUGGUGAAAUCCGACAGCUUAACUGUCGAACUGCCAUUGAUACUGUUAGUCUUGAGUAAGGUUGAAGUGGCUGGAAUAAGUAGUGUAGCGGUGAAAUGCAUAGAUAUUACUUAGAACACCAAUUGCGAAGGCAGGUCACUAAGUCUUAACUGACGCUGAUGGACGAAAGCGUGGGGAGCGAACAGGAUUAGAAACCCCAGUAGUCCC
rnacentral:rRNA from 1 species